UCCCUUUGAGGGCCAUCUUCUUUCAAACCACAACCUUGAUUUGUAAAUUUCAUGGCUGGUUCCCACCUCUCUGGCUAUGACUUCCUGGGUGACUGCUUGGAGGAAAAGAGGACCACAAGGAGACUGGUGCACAGAAUUCAUGAGCCUGACUGGUACCAACAUCUGAGCGCUCAAAGGUGGCAUUCCAGAGUCAGAGCUGAACCACACAGAAAGCAGACUUGGAAAUUUCACUUACUGAAGGGUCACCAUCAUCUUUUUCUUCAUGGACUGAAUUAUUUCAAGGAUCUUCAUAUCUG
rnacentral:lncRNA from 1 species